rnacentral:tRNA from 1 species
GGGUCUGUAGCUCAAUCCGGUAGAGCAGCGGACUUUUAAUCCGUUGGUUGUGGGUUCAAUUCCCACCGGACCCA